rnacentral:sRNA from 1 species
GCUGGGUGGGGUGGUGCACAUGUGUAAUCCCAGCUAUUUGGGAGGCUGAGGCAGGAGGAUUGCAAGUUUAAGCACAGGUUGGACAACUUGGUGAGAUCCUGUCUCAA